GGCUAGGUGGCGGAGUGGUUAACGCGGUAGACUCGAAUCGAAUUCCCUGCGAAUUCCGAUGUGAUCUACUUCCUUCGGGAGCGUCUGUUCGAAUCAGGCCCUAGUCG